rnacentral:rRNA from 1 species
AUACGGAGGAUCCGAGCGUUAUCCGGAUUUAUUGGGUUUAAAGGGUGCGCAGGCGGCCAUUUAAGUCAGCGGUUAAAUCGUGGGGCUCAACCCCAUUCUGCCGUUGAUACUGGGUGGCUUGAUUGCGGUCGAGGUUGGCGGAAUUCGUUGUGUAGCGGUGAAAUGCAUAGAUAUGACGAAGAACACCGAUUGCGUAGGCAGCUGACCAGACCGCAAAUGACGCUCAUGCACGAAAGUGCGGGGAUCGAACAGGAUUAGAUACCCUGGUAGUCCGCACAGUAAACGAUGAAUACUCGCUGUUUGCGAUACACUGUAAGCGGCCAAGCGAAAGCGUUAAGUAUUCCACCUGGGGAGUACGCCGGCAACGGUGAAACUCAAAGGAAUUGACGG